AACCUGCCCAAGAGAUCGGGAUAACACCUGGAAACAGAUGCUAAUACCGGAUAACAAUAGAUGAUGCCUAUCAACUGUUUAAAAGAUGGUUCUGCUAUCACUCUUGGAUGGACCUGCGGUGCAUUAGCUAGUUGGUAGGGUAACGGCCUACCAAGGCGAUGAUGCAUAGCCGAGUUGAGAGACUGAUCGGCCACAUUGGGACUGAGACACGGCCCAAACUCCUACGGGAGGCAGCAGUC
rnacentral:rRNA from 1 species